AUUGCAAUGAUGAAUUGAUGAAUACCGCCCCAGUCUGAUUAAUUACAUGACUGAAUGGUAAUGAUUCUGAUGCAAA
rnacentral:snoRNA from 1 species